GUGCCAGCAGCCGCGGUAAUACGUAGGUGGCAAGCGUUGUCCGGCUUUACUGGGCGUAAAGGAUGUGUAGGCGGAUAUUUAAGUGAGAUGUGAAAUCCCCGGGCUUAACUUGGGGGCUGCAUUUCAAACUGGAUGUCUAGAGUGCAGGAGAGGAAAGCAGAAUUCCUAGUGUAGCGGUGAAAUGCGUAGAGAUGAAGAAGAAUACCAGUGGCGAAAGCGGCUUUCUGGACUGUAACUGACGCGGAGGCAUGAACGCGUGGGGAGAAAACAG
rnacentral:rRNA from 1 species